rnacentral:rRNA from 1 species
AAGUCGAGCGGAGAUGAGGUGCUUGCACCUUAUCUUAGCGGCGGACGGGUGAGUAAUGCUUAGGAAUCUGCCUAUUAGUGGGGGACAACAUUCCGAAAGGAAUGCUAAUACCGCAUACGUCCUACGGGAGAAAGCAGGGGAUCUUCGGACCUUGCGCUAAUAGAUGAGCCUAAGUCGGAUUAGCUAGUUGGUGGGGUAAAGGCCUACCAAGGCGACGAUCUGUAGCGGGUCUGAGAGGAUGAUCCGCCACACUGGGACUGAGACACGGCCCAGACUCCUACGGGAGGCAGCAGUGGGGAAUAUUGGACAAUGGGGGGAACCCUGAUCCAGCCAUGCCGCGUGUGUGAAGAAGGCCUUAUGGUUGUAAAGCACUUUAAGCGAGGAGGAGGCUACUGAGACUAAUACUCUUGGAUAGUGGAUGUUACUCGCAGAAUAAGCACCGGCUAACUCUGUACCAGCAGCCGCGGUAAUACAGAGGGUGCAAGCGUUGUUCGGAAUUAUUGGGCGUAAAGCGCGCGUAGGCGGCUUUGCAAGUCAGAUGUGAAAUCCCUCGGCUUAACCGAGGAAGUGCGUUUGAAACUGCAGAGCUUGAGUACUAAAGAGGAUGGCGGAAUUCCAGAAGUAGAGGUGAAAUUCGUAGAUAUCUGGAGGAACACCGGUGGCGAAGGCGGCCCAUCUGGGUAGUCACUGACGCUGAGGCGCGAAAGCGUGGGUAUCAAACAGGAUUAGAUACCCUGGUAGUCCACGCUGUAAACGAUGAGAACUAGGUGUCGUGGGUGUUGA